CCAUAGCCAAUGGAGGAGGAAUAGCAGCAGGUGGUUUGGUGGCUGUCCUACAGUCUGCAGGAGCGGCUGGACUCUCAGCUGCUGGCAGUGCUGUGGUCGGGACAGUAGGGGCUGCGACUGGCUACGGUAUUAAAAAGGCUUUUGACAGUGACUAAAGAAUCUUAAAUCGUUGUAAAGAAUACAGCACAGAGACUGAGAUGUAACUUGUAUUCCUGGUUGUUCUCGAGUCACCAUUGAGCAGUGACUCUGUUCCUUGUGAUUGGGAUAAAAGUGACAUUCCAGUGUGGCUGUAAAUGUCAAGCUUCACCUA